UGCAUGGUUGUCGUCAGCUCGUGUCGUGAGAUGUUGGGUUAAGUCCCGCAACGAGCGCAACCCUUAUCUUUAAUUGCCAGCAUUCAGUUGGGCACUUUAAAGAGACUGCCGGUGUUAAACCGGAGGAAGGUGGGGAUGACGUCAAGUCCUCACGGCCUUUAUGCUUAGGGCUACACACGUGCUACAAUGGGUGGUACAAAGAGAAGCCAACUCGCGAGAGCGCGCCAAUCUCAAAAAGCCAUCCUCAGUUCGGAUUGGAGUCUGCAACUCGACUCCAUGAAGUUGGAAUCGCUAGUAAUCGCGGAUCAGCAUGCCGCGGUGAAUACGUUCCCGGGCCUU
rnacentral:rRNA from 1 species